GAUGAACGCUGGCGGCGUGCCUAAUACAUGCAAGUCGAGCGAACAGAUGAGGAGCUUGCUCCUCUGACGUUAGCGGCGGACGGGUGAGUAACACGUGGAUAACCUACCUAUAAGACUGGGAUAACUUCGGGAAACCGGAGCUAAUACCGGAUAAUAUAUUUAACCGCAUGGUUCAAUAGUGAAAGACGGUUUUGCUGUCACUUAUAGAUGUAUCCGCGCCGCAUUAGCUAGUUGGUAAGGUAACGGCUUACCAAGGCGACGAUGCGUAGCCGACCUGAGAGGGUGAUCGGCCACACUGGAACUGAGACACGGUCCAGACUCCUACGGGAGGCAGCAGUAGGGAAUCUUCCGCAAUGGGCGAAAGACUGACGGAGCAACGCCGCGUGAGUGAUGAAGGUCUUCGGAUCGUAAAACUCUGUUAUUAGGGAAGAACAAAUGUGUAAGUAACUAUGCACGUCUUGACGGUACCUAAUCAGAAAGCCACGGCUAACUACGUG
rnacentral:rRNA from 1 species